AACGCUAGCUACAGGCUUAACACAUGCAAGUUGAGGGGCAGCAUCAUCAAAGCUUGCUUUGAUGGAUGGCGACCGGCGCACGGGUGAGUAACACGUAUCCAACCUGCCGACAACACUGGGAUAGCCUUUCGAAAGAAAGAUUAAUACCGGAUGGUAUAGUUUUCCCGCAUGGGAUGAUUAUUAAAGAAUUUCGGUUGUCGAUGGGGAUGCGUUCCAUUAGGCAGUUGGCGGGGUAACGGCCCACCAAACCUACGAUGGAUAGGGGUUCUGAGAGGAAGGUCCCCCACAUUGGAACUGAGACACGGUCCAAACUCCUACGGGAGGCAGCAGUGAGGAAUAUUGGUCAAUGGACGAGAGUCUGAACCAGCCAAGUAGCGUGAAGGAUGACUGCCCUAUGGGUUGUAAACUUCUUUUAUACGGGAAUAAAGUGAGCCACGUGUGGCUUUUUGUAUGUACCGUAUGAAUAAGGAUCGGCUAACUCCGUGCCAGCAGCCGCGGUAAUACGGAGGAUCCGAGCGUUAUCCGGAUUUAUUGGGUUUAAAGGGAGCGUAGGCGGGUUGUUAAGUCAGUUGUGAAAGUUUGCGGCUCAACCGUAAAAUUGCAGUUGAUACUGGAUAUCUUGAGUGCAGUUGAGGCAGGCGGAAUUCGUGGUGUAGCGGUGAAAUGCUUAGAUAUCACGAAGAACUCCGAUUG
rnacentral:rRNA from 1 species